rnacentral:misc_RNA from 1 species
GUGAAUCAUCAAAUUUUUGAACGCAAAUUGCACUCUCUUCGGAGAGUAUGCCUGUGUGAGGGUCAGCCUAAAAAAAUCGACAUCGUUGCUGUUUCACAGUGGCGUUCGUCGUAAGUUGGGUUAUCUUAAAUCUUUGGUUUAAGCGAGUUAAAAUUUUCUUUACUAUUCCAUGAACGUUUCUAAGAUCUUUAUCUUUACACGUUUAAGGUAUCGAUUUUUAUUAGUCUUAUCCGUCAUAUCUAAUCA